rnacentral:rRNA from 1 species
UUGAACGCUGGCGGCAGGCCUAACACAUGCAAGUCGAGCGGUAGCACAGAGAGCUUGCUCUCGGGUGACGAGCGGCGGACGGGUGAGUAAUGUCUGGGAAACUGCCUGAUGGAGGGGGAUAACUACUGGAAACGGUAGCUAAUACCGCAUAACGUCGCAAGACCAAAGUGGGGGACCUUCGGGCCUCAUGCCAUCAGAUGUGCCCAGAUGGGAUUAGCUAGUAGGUGGGGUAACGGCUCACCUAGGCGACGAUCCCUAGCUGGUCUGAGAGGAUGACCAGCCACACUGGAACUGAGACACGGUCCAGACUCCUACGGGAGGCAGCAGUGGGGAAUAUUGCACAAUGGGCGCAAGCCUGAUGCAGCCAUGCCGCGUGUGUGAAGAAGGCCUUCGGGUUGUAAAGCACUUUCAGCGGGGAGGAAGGCGAUAAGGUUAAUAACCUUGUCGAUUGACGUUACCCGCAGAAGAAGCACCGGCUAACUCCGUGCCAGCAGCCGCGGUAAUACGGAGGGUGCAAGCGUUAAUCGGAAUUACUGGGCGUAAAGCGCACGCAGGCGGUCUGUCAAGUCGGAUGUGAAAUCCCCGGGCUCAACCUGGGAACUGCAUUCGAAACUGGCAGGCUAGAGUCUUGUAGAGGGGGGUAGAAUUCCAGGUGUAGCGGUGAAAUGCGUAGAGAUCUGGAGGAAUACCGGUGGCGAAGGCGGCCCCCUGGACAAAGACUGACGCUCAGGUGCGAAAGCGUGGGGAGCAAACAGGAUUAGAUACCCUGGUAGUCCACGCCGUAAACGAUGUCGAUUUGGAGGUUGUGCCCUUGAGGCGUAGCUUCCGGAGCUAACGCGUUAAAUCGACCGCCUGGGGAGUACGGCCGCAAGGUUAAAACUCAAAUGAAUUGACGGGGGCCCGCACAAGCGGUGGAGCAUGUGGUUUAAUUCGAUGCAACGCGAAGAACCUUACCUGGUCUUGACAUCCACAGAACUUUCCAGAGAUGGAUUGGUGCCUUCGGGAACUGUGAGACAGGUGCUGCAUGGCUGUCGUCAGCUCGUGUUGUGAAAUGUUGGGUUAAGUCCCGCAACGAGCGCAACCCUUAUCCUUUGUUGCCAGCGGUUAGGCCGGGAACUCAAAGGAGACUGCCAGUGAUAAACUGGAGGAAGGUGGGGAUGACGUCAAGUCAUCAUGGCCCUUACGAGUAGGGCUACACACGUGCUACAAUGGCAUAUACAAAGAGAAGCGACCUCGCGAGAGCAAGCGGACCUCAUAAAGUAUGUCGUAGUCCGGAUUGGAGUCUGCAACUCGACUCCAUGAAGUCGGAAUCGCUAGUAAUCGUAGAUCAGAAUGCUACGGUGAAUACGUUCCCGGGCCUUGUACACACCGCCCGUCACACCAUGGGAGUGGGUUGCAAAAGAAGUAGGUAGCUUAACCUUCGGGAGGGCGCUUACCACUUUGUGAUUCAUGACUGGGGUG